rnacentral:rRNA from 1 species
CAGUUGAUACUGGGGACCUGNAGUGCGGCAGAGGCAGGCGGAAUUCGUGGUGUAGCGGUGAAAUGCUUAGAUAUCACGAAGAACUCCGAUUGCGAAGGCAGCUUGCUGGACCGUAACUGACGUUGAUGCUCGAAAGUGCGGGUAUCAAACAGGAUUAGAUACCCUGGUAGUCCGCACAGUAAACGAUGAAUACUCGCUGUUGGCGAUAUACUGCCAGCGGCCAAGCGAAAGCGUUAAGUAUUCCACCUGGGGAGUACGCCGGCAACGGUGAAACUCAAAGGAAUUGACGGGGGCCCGCACAAGCGGAGGAACAUGUGGUUUAAUUCGAUGAUACGCGAGGAACCUUACCCGGGCUUGAACUGCAGCGGAAUGAUUUGGAAACAGAUCAGCGAGCAAUCGCCGCUGUGGAGGUGCUGCAUGGUUGUCGUCAGCUCGUGCCGUGAGGUGUCGGCUUAAGUGCCAUAACGAGCGCAACCCUUACCGAUAGUUGCCAUCAGGUGACGCUGGGGACUCUAUCGGGACUGCCGUCGUAAGAUGUGAGGAAGGUGGGGAUGACGUCAAAUCAGCACGGCCCUUACGUCCGGGGCUACACACGUGUUACAAUGGGGGGUACAGCAGGCCGCUACCGGGCGACCGGAUGCCAAUCCCUAAAACCCCUCUCAGUUCGGACUGGAGUCUGCAACCCGACUCCACGAAGCUGGAUUCGCUAGUAAUCGCGCAUCAGCCACGGCGCGGUGAAUACGUUCCCGGGCCUUGUACACACCGCCCGUCAAGCCAUG